GACAACGUACCCCUGAUUUCCCUUUCAAAUCGCCUGGCUAAAAUAUCAUAUCAAUGUAGAAGUUUCCUCGGCAGUUUGACAUGAAAACCGCCUAUUUCACACAGCAAAUUAAACAACCAAAUAUAUACCUUCUCCGAUCCUAAUUAAACCGUAGUGGAUACGAUACUCCAGCUCCGCAAUUGACCUCGGCGCGGCGGCGAUGGCGACUGCGGCGGUGUUGACAGAAGAGAGAGAGCACAAGUGAACAUAGCCCAUAUGUGUAUGGAGAGAGAAUAAUGAAAUUAAACCUCCUUCAAUUCGAUCGGGUAUGCGCAGUUUUGUACUCUCUGCUCUUCUGCCAACAAACUCCAUCAUGCUUUCGCCCUCUCUCUCUCUCUCUCUACGCACUCGGCAAGGUAAGACGGUUAUUCCAUCUUCAUAUUUUCCUCUUGAUUAAAGUCUGCUAAUUAUAAUUGUGAAUCUCAAAUUUGUAUGAAUGAGUUUGAUAGAUUGUAGUUUAAUUUAGAAGAUUCGAGCGUUUUGUUAUUUUGUUCGAUGAACGGGUAGAAAUAAAAUAAACUU